GGGCGGUUAGCUCAGCCUGGUUGGAGCAUUCGUCUUAUACACGAGAGGUCAGCGGUUCAAAUCCGCUACCGCCCAC
rnacentral:tRNA from 1 species